AGUCCCAGCUCAGUUGGUUAGAGCACUACACUGAUAAUGUAGGGUCAGCAGUUCAAAUCUGCUCGGGACUA
rnacentral:tRNA from 1 species